UCUCCGUUGGUGAGCCAGCGGAGGGAUCAUUACUGGAAUCGCAAGAUCCCACAACCCUGUGAACCUACCGAAACGUUGCCUCGGCGGGUGCCCGGCCUCUGCGCCGGGCGCUGCGCCCGCCGGCGGCCCCCUACUCUGUCUCUGCAGCGUGGCAUCUCAGAGUCCCAGAAAACAAGUCAAAACUUUCAACAACGGAUCUCUUGGCUCUA
rnacentral:misc_RNA from 1 species